ensembl:miRNA
UGCUCUUCGCGAAUCUUUUUGCGGUCUGGGCUUGCUGUAUAUAACUCAAUAGCCGGAAGCCCUUACCCCAAAAAGCAUUCGCGGAGGGCG